rnacentral:rRNA from 1 species
AGUGAACGCUGGCGGUAGGCCUAACACAUGCAAGUCGAACGGCAGCACAGUAAGAGCUUGCUCUUACGGGUGGCGAGUGGCGGACGGGUGAGGAAUACAUCGGAAUCUACUUUUUCGUGGGGGAUAACGUAGGGAAACUUACGCUAAUACCGCAUACGACCUACGGGUGAAAGCAGGGGAUCUUCGGACCUUGCGCGAUUGAAUGAGCCGAUGUCGGAUUAGCUAGUUGGCGGGGUAAAGGCCCACCAAGGCGACGAUCCGUAGCUUGUCUGAGAGGAUGAUCAGCCACACUGGAACUUAGACACGGUCCAGACUCCUACGGGAGGCAGCAGUGGGGAAUAUUAGACAAUGGGCGCAAGCCUGAUCCAGCCAUACCGAGUGGGUGAAGAAGGCCUUCGGGUUGUGAAGCCCUUUUGUUGGGAAAGAAAAGCAGCAGGUUAAUACCCCGCUGUUCUGACGGUACCCAAAGAAUAAGCACCGGCUAACUUCGUG